UGCCGCGUGUGUGAUGAAGGCCUUAGGGUCGUAAAGCUCUUUCGCCUGUGAAGAUAAUGACUGUACCAGGUAAAGAAACCCCGGCUAACUCCGUGCCAGCAGCCGCGGUAAUACGGAGGGGGUUAGCGUUGUUCGGAAUUACUGGGCGUAAAGCGCGCGUAGGCGGUCUGGAAAGUUGGGGGUGAAAUCCCGGGGCUCAACCCCGGAACUGCCUCCAAAACUCCCAGUCUAGAGUUCGAGAGAGGUGAGUGGAAUUCCGAGUGUAGAGGUGAAAUUCGUAGAUAUUCGGAGGAACACCAGUGGCGAAGGCGGCUCACUGGCUCGAUACUGACGCUGAGGUGCGAAAGUGUGGGGAGCAAACAGGAUUAGAUACCCUGGUAGUCCACACCGUAAACGAUGAAUGCCAGUCGUCGGUAAGCAUGCUCGUCGGUGACACACCUAACGGAUUAAGCAUUCCGCCUGGGGAGUACGGUCGCAAGAUUAAAACUCA
rnacentral:rRNA from 1 species